rnacentral:rRNA from 1 species
CAGCAGCCGCGGUAAUACGUAGGGUGCAAGCGUUGUCCGGAAUUAUUGGGCGUAAAGAGCUCGUAGGCGGUUUGUCGCGUCUGCUGUGAAAACCCGAGGCUCAACCUCGGGCCUGCAGUGGGUACGGGCAGACUAGAGUGCGGUAGGGGAGAUUGGAAUUCCUGGUGUAGCGGUGGAAUGCGCAGAUAUCAGGAGGAACACCGAUGGCGAAGGCAGAUCUCUGGGCCGUAACUGACGCUGAGGAGCGAAAGCAUGGGGAGCGAACAGGAUUAGAUACCCAGUAGUCCCUGUCUCUUAUACA